rnacentral:rRNA from 1 species
AAUCAACGCUGGCGGCGUGCCUCAGACAUGCAAGUCGAACGAGAAAGUUUCCUUCGGGGAAUGAGUAAAGUGGCGCACGGGUGAGUAACACGUAGGUAAUCUACCUUCGGGUGGGGAAUAACCCAGGGAAACUUGGGCUAACACCGCAUAAUGCAGCGGCACCACAUGGUGACAGUUGUUAAAGCGGGGGAUUUUAGGACCUCGCGCCUGAAGAGGAGCCUGCGGCGGAUUAGCUAGUUGGUAAGGUAACGGCUUACCAAGGCGACGAUCCGUAACCGGCCUGAGGAGGGGCGGUCGGUCACACUGACACUGACA